ACAAAACAUAGACAAAUACAAAGCAAGCAAGAAAAAAAUAAAGACUCGAUGACAAAAAAGAAAACAAAAAGGAAGCUGGGGGUGGACAAAGGCAGGAGUGUCUGGCUGCAGGAAAAAAGAAAACAAGAGAGACGCUUUUGUGAGGAGAGGGUGCGGAGGUUCGAAGAGGACUACUCCAGUGGUAUGACCUGGAUUUCUCCCUCUCUAGGCCCAUGCUGUGCACAGUUGGGGGGCCUGAAGCUCCAGCAGCCACUUAUUUAGGGAAAGAAAAGCAAAAUCUUCAGUCUUCCAGCCUCACUUUCUUGUUACAAAGCCACUGAGGACUGAACACGGUCUUGGUCUGGUUAUUAAUUUUCUUAAGUUUUUUUUUAACGUCAUUGUAUAUCCUUCUGGACCUAGACAUCAAACCCGGAUCAGGAGAUUCCAGUUUGAGUUAAUCGACAUGCAAAUAUUCCAGCCAUUUCAUGACUAGCUUGGAAUAAUAUAUAUUUCUGAGGAGGAGAUGUAGAUCUGAGGUAUGUAAAGUUAUGGGUUCAGUUAUAACCAAUUCUGUGUAUCGGAACGCUAUUCUGACAAUACACUGAGUUGCUAAUAUUUGAGGAUUCCCGCUCAUUAUAAAAGCAUAAUGAUAUAAUGGGUUUGAGGAGAAUUGUCAUAAUUCGAUCAAUGCGGUACCUGAGGUAGAAUCGUACAGCUUUUAGAAGCUCAUCAAUAUUUGGCUCACCUCUCUGGGUGUGCAGUAUAAGAGCAGCUUUGUGGUGAAAUAUCAUUUAAAGUCAGCAUAUGCUCACAUUUUCAUAUUCUUGUUGGCUCGAGUUCAAAUCCUUGCCAUAGUGGAGAGUCUGGGAUGUUUGGUUUGGUGGGAAGCCAAUGCUGAAAAUGCCAUAAUAGUCACUGCGGGCCUAGCAGCAACUAAAUUUACAACCUAUUCAGAACACAUGAAUAUGGGUUUGAAUACAGGCUAAAUUGUUUGAAAUUUCUCUGGUCUAAAUCUGUGAUUUAAAAUCAACCCUGAAAAAAAAUACACUUUCCUCAGCUGGGUGAAAAUGAAAACACGACAAAGAACUGCAUCUGUGAGUGCAAUAUAACCAAAGUGUAAAUCUUAGUCUUUGUAGUAUCUUUGUGCUGUUAGAUUCAACACAAGCAAGGGCAUGCAUGAAAUGGGCUGUUUCGCUGCACGUUGCAGAAUAUCAGUUUAGGGUGAUUACAAGACUUCAAUGCAAACUGUUAUUAGAUGAAG
ensembl:lncRNA